rnacentral:rRNA from 1 species
GUGGGGAAUAUUGCACAAUGGGCGAAAGCCUGAUGCAGCAACGCCGCGUGGGGGAUGACGGCCUUCGGGUUGUAAACCUCUUUUAGUAGGGAAGAAGGACUUCGGUUUGACGGUACCUGCAGAAAAAGCACCGGCUAACUACGUGCCAGCAGCCGCGGUAAUACGUAGGGUGCAAGCGUUGUCCGGAAUUAUUGGGCGUAAAGAGCUCGUAGGCGGUUUGUCGCGUCUGCUGUGAAAACCCGAGGCUCAACCUCGGGCCUGCAGUGGGUACGGGCAGACUAGAGUGCGGUAGGGGAGAAUGGAAUUCCUGGUGUAGCGGUGGAAUGCGCAGAUAUCAGGAGGAACACCGAUGGCGAAGGCAGUUCUCUGGGCCGUUACUGACGCUGAGGAGCGAAAGCAUGGGGAGCGAACAGGAUUAGAUACCCUAGUAGUCC